CACUCCUACGGGAGGCAGCAGUGGGGAAUAUUGCACAAUGGGCGCAAGCCUGAUGCAGCCAUGCCGCGUGUAUGAAGAAGGCCUUCGGGUUGUAAAGUACUUUCAGCGGGGAGGAAGGCGAUAAGGUUAAUAACCUUGUCGAUUGACGUUACCCGCAGAAGAAGCACCGGCUAACUCCGUGCCAGCAGCCGCGGUAAUACGGAGGGUGCAAGCGUUAAUCGGAAUUACUGGGCGUAAAGCGCACGCAGGCGGUCUGUCAAGUCGGAUGUGAAAUCCCCGGGCUCAACCUGGGAACUGCAUUCGAAACUGGCAGGCUAGAGUCUUGUAGAGGGGGGUAGAAUUCCAGGUGUAGCGGUGAAAUGCGUAGAGAUCUGGAGGAAUACCGGUGGCGAAGGCGGCCCCCUGGACAAAGACUGACGCUCAGGUGCGAAAGCGUGGGGAGCAAACAGGAUUAGAAACCCCGGUAGUCCCAUGAU
rnacentral:rRNA from 1 species